CUGACUAAAGAGAGAGACCAGCUACAGACCAGUUACAACAACCUGACUGAAGAGAAAGGCCAUAUUCAGGCAAAGCUUUUUGUGAUAGAGCAACUUUGUCAGCGGGGAUGGAGAUACUUUGACUCCAGUUUGUACUUCCUCUCUACUGAAAAGAAAACCUGGGAGGAGAGCAGACAGGACUGUCUAGAAAGAGGAGCAGACCUGGUGAUCAUAAAGAGCACUGAGGAACAGACAUUUCUCUUCAACCUCCAACUGAGAGCCUGGAUUGGUCUGACUGACUCUGUUACUGAGGGGACCUGGAAAUGGGUGGACGGCAC